AUCCCAAGGAAGCUAGAAAACCAGUGAGGAAUUCAGAGUAGCCCAGGGAGAAGCUCUGAUUUCCUGCUGAAAAGGGUUACUCUGGCAUCUGGGCGGAAAAAAGGAAGAAAGAGGAGACCAAGCAGGAGGAGGCUGCUAUCAUCCGAUGUGCUGUAAUAGGGAUCUACUGCACCAGUCCGUGGCUUAGGAACUGGGCCACACAGCAGGAGACUCUUCUGUCCAUUUUCACACAGAGAGACUUCUAUACUGUGGGUUAAGGAAGGAAACCAGGCCCUGAGCUUCAGUAGUUCUACCAGUGCUUCUCAAGUGUCAGCUUUUCCUCAUCCUCUAGCCGCCCUCCCAGAGGAUCCUGGGAGGCGAGGCAGGAACGGCCUGCUUGGGGAGCCAGCGAGUUUGCAGGGCCUUUUCUGCUGCUUCCUGUACCCCGGUAUUUCACUCGGCUCUCUAAAUGGACUCAGCUCCAGAUAUAGGCACGCUUCAGAGAUUGCAGAGUUAAUUGCAGACCACUGCAAUAAAGAGGGUGCAACUCUACCAACAUGAACAACCAAGGAAGGAGAAAUGACAUGGGGGCCAAGUCCUGAUGACCACGCAGCAAGCCCGUGAGUGACGUUCCAAGUCACUCCCAGCCCCUCAUGUAAGCAUCAAGGUGGAUACUACAAUGAAAACCAACUGUCACUGCAUCCUACCUCAAGGUCUUAACUUCCAUGUAAUAGGAUCUCUCAAGCCAGAACAACACAAACCCAGACACUGCUGGACCAGUGAGACCAAGAUUCAGGCCGAGUCUAAAAUAUCAACCUCAAGAUUCUCUGGAACCCAAAAGCUGCCUAGAAUUGUGGUGGUAAAUUGACAAAUCUUUCCAUUCUACUAUUCUUCAGAGUUUCAAGGCAACUCUUGGUUGAUACAAUUGUAGCUUCAGCCAAACUAAUCUGAAUUCCAGAAUAUUCCACCUUGGCAUCUAAUGGAAGACAGUGAAAUGAGCAAGGGAGCCUGAGAUGGGGUGAGAGUCAGACAGGACUUUUCUCAACUGUAUCAUGGCAGAUUAGCUGAAUUCCUCUCUAAGUGCCUAGAGGACAUUAUCAUUGAGAAUGCACUUUGUAUUUCCCGAAGGGAAAGUGUCCUCAAACAGAACCAUUCAGAACACAUUCCAAAGGAAAUGAGGAUAUCAUUUUACACGUAUAUUAACCUGACAAGGCCCUACAGAAACUGACAGAACUACCUGAUUAAAUAAAGAGUGUAGGGUUUUUUUGAUAUUUUUCUCAGCCAAAAACGCUAUGGGAAGCCAGACACAGACGUUUGAAAUUAGAAUAUUGCUCCAGUGUGUAAGUUUAUUACCGACUGGUAUGAGUUUUAUAGACAUGAUUGAUAAAAGUGUGACAAUUUUUUUAAAUGAGUUAACUUUUCUUAAAAAGUAACAAAGGAAAAGUUUGAGUCUUUAUGGUCUCUGGUAACCACAAUGACAAAAUGUAAAAUGAAUAUCAUUUAUUAAGAGUCAUGCCCCCUUCCAAACCAUGGAAACAGGACCACUCUUUGAAAUUCUCUAGAAUGGUUUAACAUGACUACUCUUUGGAUGGCUGUUGAAAGGAACAAUUCAUUAUUGCAUGCAUAUAUAAGAAGAUUAAUUAGAGUAACAAGAAAUAAGAACUGCUUGUUCUUUUCGGGAAAGAGUUAUUAUUUCUCCUUUUUGUAAAUAUUACUCUCAAGAUCAAGUUUAUGCUUUUAUGAUAGCAUGUAAUGCUAAUUGGUAGUCUCUGUUUUCCCUGUUUCAUUUAUUUAAAAAAGAAAAUAGCCAUUUGUUAAAAUUAAGUUUGGGUAGUUCUAACAGCUCAUGUGAAAAUUAUAAGCCAUGUUUUUUACAUUGUUUUACUUAAAAAAUCCACUUGUAGCAUAAUAAUUUCAUUGGUUCAUUUGAAAUGCAAAUGUAGCAUUUGUAACACCGGUUGCCUCGCCUGGGGCCAAAUGGACACACCCAUUCCUCUCCUUACCUGAAAACUACGUCAUCAUUCUGAGUGCAUUACUCAGCAUCUGGGCUCCCCACACCCAUUUCCGCAUUCCAAUCUCAGUCCUGCACUCAUCAGCAAACUAGGCACUCGGCCCCACCAAAAUUUUAAAAAUCCCGCCAAGUCCUGCCCUAUGGCAGCUUGCCCCGUACAUCCUCAGCCAGCCCACUUGCCAGCAGCCCCGCCUGGCUGCCAAUGGUGGCUUGCCUCGUCUGUGCCCAGUCCCUUCAUAACCAAUGAGACUACCUCCACUUUGUUUCCCCUGCAGCCAAUCAACUACCCCCACACCCUAAGAAGGGAAGCACUUCGCCUCGGCUCUUUCCCCUGACCACAGAACCUCGCCGGGAAGCUGAAUAAAUUGGCUUUUACUUUUUUACUCCGGUCUCCGUUUCCUCAUUUAACUCGGCAAUAAACCUUACAGCAAUUGUUACUAUAAUCUAGCAUAAAAGACAGAACACAUUUCAAGAAGUAACUUUAAAACUUUGAGAGUUUCUGUAAAACUCUUCCAUAUGAAUGUAAUAACAUCAUAAAUUAAAAUUUCCUAAGUACAAAUGCUGAGCCUUACCUGAUUAUGUGUCAGAAAAUAAUAUAUUCUUAGUAUGAUGUUAUCCUAGCCUCUCCCUGCCACAUACACAACUGCUAAAAUACUCCAGAUCUGCUAUGUGAACGAUAAUAGAAAAGAGUGUGUAUGUUAUCCUUUCUAAUAAGAUACCUCCUUCACUUUACAUAAAGGACUUUCUCAAGCUAUUUUCAAAUUAUUCUCAAUUUUUAAAACUCAAAUGUUUUUCCGAACACUGGACUCUCCAUGUUCGUGUUGAUCAGACAACUAGACCUUUUGAAAUGACCCGGAAACCUGAAUCUUCUAAAAGGACAAAUUACUACUUAAAAAGAGAAUACACCAUAGUUAGUACUCCAAGGUGCCCAUUGGCAAAUUCAUGGCAAAGGCAGGAACUUUGAAAUCCCUAUGUUUUCAGCUGCAAAAGACUACACCUGUUCUAUUACUGAAACAAUCAUGCUCUUCAAAAACUGGAACUAAAACGCAGCCAUUUGUCCCCAUCACCCGGUGUCAACAACAGAAAUGACCACUGUGAGCAUAAAUGUUGUUUGGAUUCAACCAUUUCUCAACAAACAGCUCUGCUGAACUCAGAGUCAGAAACAAUGGGUUCAAGUCCAGAUGAUGCCACUUCUCAGUACCUUGAGGUUUUUUUCUAGCACCGCGGUUGCCUAUUUCUGUUUUGAAAGGUCAAGCACUCCACACCAACUCAGGAAGUCCACAGAGUCUGAGAAGGGAGCAAGGAUUUCUCAUCUCGUUACUUACUUGCUAUGGACUGAAUGUUUGUGUCCCCCAGAAUUAAUAUGUUGAGGUUCUCUAAUUGUCAACAUGAUACUAUUUGGAGGUGGAGUCUUUGGGCGGUAAUUAGGUCAUGAGAACGGAGCCAAUAUGAAUGGGAUUAGUUUCCUCAUUAGAAGAAACACAAAGAAAUUCUGUCUCUCCCCCACCCCCCCAACCGCGGUCUGUACCUUGUGAAG